UUGUAAUAGUUCUGUUUCACCCUGUUGUUCUUUAUGGGGAAAGCACCAGGAGUUAAGAUGGGGAGGGCUCUUUUUCUCUUUCCUUUCUACAGCUUGUAGAUUCCUUCUCCACAUAAAGCUACCUUUGAAAUCAGUAAAAGGCCUGCACCUGGAAAAGAGAUGUUAGGGAUUGAAAGGAAUAAUAAUCUCCAUGGGACUUUCAGAGCCAGCUAAGCAAAAUCCAUGUUAGG